rnacentral:rRNA from 1 species
UACGUAGGUGACAAGCGUUGUCCGGAUUUACUGGGCGUAAAGAGCGCGCAGGCGGUCGAUCAAGUCGAGUGUGAAAGCCCCCGGCUCAACUGGGGAGGGUCAUUCGAUACUGAUCGACUCGAAGGCAGGAGAGGGUGGUGGAAUUCCCGGUGUAGUGGUGAAAUGCGUAGAUAUCGGGAGGAACACCAGUGGCGAAGGCGACUACCUGGCCUGUUCUUGACGCUGAGGCGCGAAAGCUAGGGGAGCAAACGGG